rnacentral:rRNA from 1 species
GACGAACGCUGGCGGCGUGCCUAAUACAUGCAAGUCGAGCGGAAGUUGGAGAGCUUGCUCUUCAACUUUAGCGGCGGACGGGUGAGUAACACGUGGGCAACCUGCCCUGCAGAUCGGGAUAACUCCGGGAAACCGGUGCUAAUACCGAAUAGUUUUCGCCACCACCUGGUGGCGUACGGAAAGACGGUUUCGGCUGUCACUGCAGGAUGGGCCCGCGGCGCAUUAGCUAGUUGGGGGGGUAACGGCCCACCAAGGGGACGAUGCGUAGCCGACCUGAGAGGGUGAUCGGCCACACUGGGACUGAGACACGGCCCAGACUCCUACGGGAGGCAGCAGUAGGGAAUCUUCCGCAAUGGACGAAAGUCUGACGGAGCAACGCCGCGUGAGUGACGAAGGUUUUCGGAUCGUAAAACUCUGUUGUGAGGGAAGAACAAGUACCAACUAACUACUGGUACCUUGACGGUACCUCACCAGAAAGCCACGGCUAACUACGUGCCAGCCGCCGCGGUAA